UUAGUAGAUAGAGGAGUGCUCGAAAGAGAACCGUAACACAGGUGCUGCAUGGCUGUCGUCAGCUCGUGUCGUGAGAUGUGGGUUAAGUCCCGCAACGAGCGCAACCCUUGUCAUUAGUUGCUACAUUCAGUUGGGCACUCUAAUGAGACUGCCGGUGACAAACCGGAGGAAGGUGGGGAUGACGUCAAGUCCUCAUGGCCCUUAUAGGUGGGGCUACACACGUCAUACAAUGGAUGGUACAAAGGGUCGCCAACCCGCGAGGGGGAGCCAAUCCCAUAAAGCCAUUCGUAGUCCGGAUCGCAGUCUGCAACUCGACUGCGUGAAGUCGGAAUCGCUAGUAAUCGUGGAUCAGAAUGUCACGGUGAAUACGUUCCCGGGUCUU
rnacentral:rRNA from 1 species